ensembl:lncRNA
CGGAACCACAUACACGCGAGUAACACAGUUCAGGCCCUGAGCCCCGCAGAGGAAGCUCCCUGUGCAGCCGCCGCGAGCUGUGCUGUCACCACACCGGGCGCUGGGAAAGCGCGGCAGACGCGCUGCCACCCGUGCAGGCGGUGACUGGGGCGGGUGGGCCCUGCGGAGGCGCCGAGAGCUACGUCGGCGAGGAAUUCCUGCUCUUCGACUCUUCUUUUUUGUUGCUCUUAUACUAAUUGAGAAAUUACUUAAAUUCAACUUGGUAUCCACUAAGAGCUUGACACAACUUAAAAUUUCCAUGUAUUUUAUUCAGGAACCGAUAGCCAAUCAGAGCAGUGAGCCUAGCGCCGCGUGCCGGACGCCGGGCGGAGGCUUGACUGAUUGGCCUUCGAUGACAUUCACAGUCCCACGGGGAAGGACCGGAACUACCUUAUGUUAGAGGCAAGGAAACAGGUUUGAGAGGCUAAUAACAAGCUCAUGCGUCUUGUAAGUCAUAGGACCCAGCGCCGACCGCGCCCGUCCACCUGCCCAGCGCGCUGGGCGGGCCGCCCCUGAGCCGGCGAAGGUGCACGCUGCGCCCGCGCUCCCGGGGGACUCCAGCCGCGGACAUCCUUCCCACGCAACACGUUCAUGGAGGAUCUACAGUGUGCAAACCCGUGGGUCAACGCCCAGUGUUUGUUAAACUGAACGGGGCUGCGCUGCAGUUCAGAAAGCGGAAGUCGGCUGAGCAAGGAGCCCCGCCCUCCGGCACGAGCCCUGCCCCCAAAGAAGAGGGCGAGAGAAUGAGCGGCCGCCACUCGAGGUCAAGGCUGAAAUGCGGGGAAUGCUAACUGCAUAGGCUGUGAGAGUCUGGCAAAGGGGGAAAUUAAGCCUGCUCCGCGGGCUGCUCUCUCUGAGACCGUGGCAAGCACGACGGUGUCCUAUUGAAAACAGUGUGGAAAGCUGCCUAAAUGUUUACUAACAGAGGACAAUUAGAUAAAUUAUGUACUCACACCAUGUAAUAUUAAACUGCGAUUUGAAAUUCUGCCACAGCAGGAAAAAGGGCUGUUGGUGAGGAAAGAUGUGCACCGUCCAAAAGUGAAAACCAGAACAAAAUAAAGUGAAAGUAUCAGGUUGUGUCGACGAGUUUCCCUCCAAAAUUGGGUGGGCCGCAUCCAAUCAGUUGAAGGCCUUAAGAGAAAAGAGCGAAGUCCUUGGAGGAAGAGGGAAUUCUGCCUCUGGACGGCGACGUCGAAGUUCUGCUGGGGCUUCCAGCCUGCCCCGUAGACUCUGGACUGAAGAUCGCAGCAUCAGCUGUCACCUGAAUGUCCCCACUGCUGGCCUGGCUGUGGGGUGUAGACUUGCCAGCCCCACAAAGGAAGGACCCUUACUAAAGCAGCAGCGUGAAGGACCCAUGGGGAUCCUCUUUACCAGACCUUUCUUUAAAGACGAGGAAAGGCACGUGAGGAAGGAGUUGGGUAUUUUCACAGCAUUUGCUCUUUCCCUCCGUGUGUAGGAUCUAAUAUAUCCUCACAGCGGCCUCGGACCCGGGAGUUGGCAUCAUUUUCUCUGAGCCAACAUGCUUGAAAGAGAGUCUCACCCCGCAGCAAGCGCAUCUCCCUGAGACGGGGUCUGCGUGUGGCGGGUCUUCUCUGCAGUUGACAUGUGUGGUUUCCCUGGAUUCUCCCUCCCGCCUCCUCCAGGCAGGAAGCCCGGUCUUUAACAGCCUCUGCCAGGAGGCAGAAGCCUCUUGAUUAGCGGGUCUUUUGUAGAAGCCUUAGUCCCUGGCAGCCGGAGCCCGGAGCACGGGGUCUUCAGGAGCACAGGGCACAGCGGGCUCUUGCCUCCGGCCGGCACGAAGGGGGCGAGGUGCGCUGGUCCUGUGAGCACCCUGCCUUCUGCUCCACGCUUGGCGAUCCUUGCGGGGAGCCUGGACACUGGCACAUAAUUUCCACACCUCGCCAAGGGAGACGGCUGCAAGGACGGGGAGAAGGCAGAGGCUGGGGGCAGCAGGAACAACGCAGAGAGAGACUGUGGGCAACCCGCCCCACUGCCAGGCAGGACGGGGUCGGCAGGAGGAGCCUGAUUCUCGUCCCUGCCGAAGCCUCCAGGACUUCUCAGCACCCUGGUGAUAAGUGAGCUUGCACGUCGGGGCAGGCUAGUGGGGCUGCGCUCAGAGUGGGACUGGUGUCAACUUAAAGAAUAUGCAUCCUUCAUGUGUGUAGACACACACACACUUGUAUAAUAUACACACGUAUAUGUGUUAUACAAUAAUAUUUCUGGCCUCCUUGUCUGAGUUAACAGGUUUGUGUCAACGACACUGACAAGGGUGGUGGGAACAGAGGAGCAGAAGUUUCUAGAAGUGUGAUGAGUGAUAAUUUUAACACAAUUUUUUUUAUUUAUCUGUAGUUUAAACUCUUUAAAUUUCCUAAGAUCUGAAAUAACCAGUUAUAAAACUGGGCAAACUAAAAUAAGUGAUAAAAUGUUCUGUUGCUAUUAUAAAAUGUAAUCCCAGUGAGAUCACUUAAUAUAUGUUUUUUCAGACACAUUCUUGUACUGUUCUUAAUGCAACAAAGAUCAGGAAAAAAGAAACAAAAUAUCAGAGACCUCAAGUAAUGGGCACUAAACUCACUUUAUUACUCAAUAUUUUCUUUUAUUAUGAAAUAAGCAUUUUUUUUUUAAAGAUUUUAUUUUUUCCUUUUUCUCCCCAAAGCCCCCCGGUACGUAGUUGUGUAUUCUUCGUUGUGGGUUCUUCUAGUUGUGGCAUGUGGGACGCUGCCUCAGCGUGGUCUGAUGAGCAGUGCCAUGUCCGCGCCCAGGAUUCGAACUAACGAAACACUGGGACGCCUGCAGCGGAGCGCGCGAACUUAACCGCUCGGCCACGGGGCCAGCCCCAUGAAAUAAGCAUUUUUAAAUCUAUGGUUAAAGGCAUACAUUAAAAAAAUAACAUUUUGCAAUAAGAGUAAGGACAUUUUCCUGGUGAUUUUAUUGAGGUAGUUUUGUCUUCCUCAAGCACAGUUUCAAAGUAAAGGUACACAACAUAAAAAAAAAAUAAAAAAUUAACUCUUUAAAUUUCCUAAAAUAAAUACAGAUUAUUUUUAUAAUUUAACUAAUAUUUUAAACAUUUAUAUUUUUAUGUAUUAUGUUACAACAUAAAAAGAUCCUUAUAGCAUAAAUUUAGAGAAAGAAACAGAAUUCUAAGUGGUAUCUACAGUAUAAGAACUAUUUUUUUUAUAAAAGUAAAAUAACAUCCAAACAGACAAAAAGAAGCCUAUAUAACCACUUAUAGAGAAAAGAUUGGAAAGAAAGAGCAAAAAUGAUGUUACUGUGAUCAUCUUCAGGGCUCUCUUUUGCUUUUUUCUACUUUUCUGACAUUUCUAAGGACUUUUGAGUGUGUAUCGCGUUUUUCUCCUGCCCGGAGCCCCAGUGCGUGGUCGCAUAUUCCAGCUGUAAGUCAGUCCAGGUCUUCUGUGUGAGCCGCUGCCACAGCAUGGCUCCUGACAGACAGUGGUGUGGUUCCGCCCCUGGGAACCCAACCCCGGCCGCUGGAGUGGAGCACGCAGAACUUGAGCCACUAGGCCGUCAGGGCUGGCUCAGAGUGUGCAUCAUUUUUUAAAAGGCAAAACUUUGCAGGGAAUUUAACUAUUUUAAUAGUCCCUGGAUAUAAAUACUACUCCACAAUAAGCUUUUUAAAAUCUUGCUUCUCUGGCUAUUGUUUUCUGUUCAAACUAUAAAUCCUUGGAAAGUGUAGAAUUUGCCAUUUCUACCUAAACUUUGCUAAAUGAAAAUUUAGUAAGCAAAAAUCCUUUUUAAAGCCUUUCUGUCUCCAACACACACACACACACACCCUCACUCCCAUACUCACGGACAUACACGUAUACACUCAUACACACUCACUCGCAUAUAUCCUCACAGCCUGACGGAAACGAAUGAGUGGGGCAGUGGCCUUCCUUUGACCUCUGCAGGCGGGAUUACACCUCCAGGGGUCCUGACAAGGCGUUAAAUUCGAGAAGAAGGGCCCACACGUGGGGCAUGAAUGACCAGGUGUGGGCCCUGGAGUGCAGAGCUCCAGUGAGGCCCUGGCAGAGGGCACAGGGGACAGAUGUGGAUUCUAAAGGCCCCAAGGUGGCCCAGGUGGCUGGCGAGCAGUCCUGUGACCGGACGCACCCCUCCCAGGUGUGCGUUGCCAGGACCACUGACUCCUAGGUGUGCUGUGACGUGAGGACGCCCUGCUGUCCCCUCCUCCCCGGGCUCCGCCCCGCUGGUCUGUCCCCCACACUGGCUGCGGUUCUGGGGGAACCUCUGCGGCUUCCUGUGGUCUGUUUGCUGUCGCCAGCAGGCCUCUGGCCACCUGAGGCCUCUCUGUCACAGCCCCUGGCCGUGGACGCCUCACCUUGCGCUUGUCCUGGAAGAGCCAGGCGAGGCCCAGGUGGUACGGGCGACGGUCAUGGCUUUCUUAUGGUCAAGCUGACACUUUCUGACGCUCUCCUUGCUUCCUGCAGGCCUGGCUUCUCCUGUUUCCCUGAACCUCGUGAACUUACUUUGCUUUCCUUGCUUUGCUUUCCUUGCCUUGCAAGUCUGCCGGAGACAAAUUCUCAACUUUUGUUGGUCUGCAAAUGUCUUUAUCUUGCUUUCAAUUUUGAAAGACAUGGUAUUGUCUAGAAAUAAAAUUCUAGAUCUUUCAGCACUUUGGAGGUGUUUUCUUUUAUUUUCUGGCCUCCGUUGUCGUUACGAAAAGUCAAUCAACGUCUCUUUUAUGGUUCGCUGUAUACAGUGUCCUUUCCCUGCUCCGGCUGCUUUUAAGAUUUUCUCUUUAUCUUUGGGGUCAGAAGUUUCACCCUGAGUAUACCCAGAUGUAUACUCUUGUUUUUUGGUUUUUUUUUUUUUACCCUGAUUUGUGAUUCACUAAAUUUGGGCCUGUUGGUCGAUGUUCCAUCAAUUUUGGGAAAUUCUCACCUGUUAUCUCCUCAAAUAUUUAUUCUGUACCAUUCUCUCUCCCCUCUCCUUCUGGAACUUUAAUGACCUGUAUCUUAGAUCAUUUGAUCUUGUCCUUCAGAUCUUGUACGCUUUGUUCCCUUUUUCUCCUUUUCUUUUCAGUUUGGAUAAUUUCUGUCACUUGUUCUUGCUACACCCAAUUUGUUGUAAAGCCCAUAGAUGGAAUUCUUCAUUUGUGCUAUGGUAUUUUUUAUAUCUAGCAUUUCUAUUUGGCCCUUUUUUGUAGUUUUCAUCUCUGUGCUGAAAUUCUUCAUCUGUUCACACAUAUUGCCCAGCUUUCCACUAGAUCGUUUAGCAUAUUUAUCAUAGUUAUUUUAAAGUCCUUAUUUCGAAGGGCUGAAAUAAGUCUAGAUAUAACUUUAUUUACUGUCCUCUCUCUUGACUGUAGGUCAUAUUUUCUUCCUUUGCUGCAUGUAUUGUACUUUUUAUUGUGUGCCAGACAUUGUGUGUAAAAGCAGAGUAGAGACUGAAGUAAACAGUGUUUACCCCCAGGAAAGGUCGCGCCCUUGCUUCUGUCUGGUUGUGUUGUGGCCGCCGAAUCAGCCUGAUCUGCGGUCGAGCUCAGCUGGGCUUUGUUGAAGCUUUAGUUAGACUGAGUUAGUUCGCCACUAGCUUCAGAUGUUUUUGAGGAAGGGGUCGUGACUUUCCCCCGGCACAACUUAGUAGCUGAGAACCAGCAAGACUCUGGGAUCUUUUCGUGCCACACAGACACCUGCCAUGUGAGGUGAGGAGAUUUCUCUCAGCUUCCUCACCAGGACGUUCUCUCUGGCCUCCAGUCCCUCCCUCGUCUGUCUGUCCUUCG